AGCUACCUCUUUUUAAUAGGGGUGAUUCUUCCAGUUGCCAGGAAGAAACUGGUAACUGGAGUCA